rnacentral:tRNA from 1 species
GCGCCCGUAGCUCAGUUGGAUAGAGCAUCCGCCUUCUAAGCGGAGGGUCGCAGGUUCGAAUCCUGCCGGGCGCGCCA